rnacentral:rRNA from 1 species
AAGGUCUUCGGAUCGUAAAACUCUGUUGUUAGGGAAGAAUAAGUACGGACCGAAAAGGUCAGUACCUUGACGGUACCUAACCAGAAAGCCCCGGCUAACUACGUGCCAGCAGCCGCGGUAAUGCGUAGGGGGCAAGCGUUGUCCGGAAUUAUUGGGCGUAAAGGGCACGCAGGCGGUCUUUUAAGUCCGAUGUGAAAUCUCGUAGCUUAACUACGAGCGGUCAUUGGAAACUGGAAGACUUGAGGACAGAAGAGGAGAGUGGAAUUCCACGUGUAGCGGUGAAAUGCGUAGAGAUGUGGAGGAACACCAGUGGCGAAGGCGACUCUCUGGUCUGUAACUGACGCUGAGGCGCGAAAGCGUGGGGAGCGAACAGGAUUAGAUACCCUGGUAGUCCACGCCGUAAACGAUGAGUGCUAGGUGUUAGGGGGUUUCCGCCCCUUAGUGCUGCAGUUAACGCAUUAAGCACUCCGCCUGGGGAGUACGGCCGCAAGGCUGAAACUCAAAAGAAUUGACGGGGGCCCGCACAAGCGGUGGAGCAUGUGGUUUAAUUCGAAGCAACGCGAAGAACCUUACCAGGUCUUGACAUCCCUUUGACCGUCCUAGAGAUAGGACUUUCCCUUCGGGGACAAAGGUGACAGGUGGUGCAUGGUUGUCGUCAGCUCGUGUCGUGAGAUGUUGGGUUAAGUCCCGUAACGAGCGCAACCC